UCUUAAUACAAGGAGAUGGGUUUUCUCGUUCUCAAACCCCAAAAUUCGGAAGAAACGGAUUUAGCAAGAAGAUGAAGAAGAAGAAAAAAUAUCAAAAUUAGGGCAUACUCAGCUGAGGAGUUUUUGUUCAGAGAAAAAGUCCAAGUGAGAUUCGAUCGCAUGGAGAUGGGGAAAUCGGAGAAAGCGCGAAUCAACAGAUGUCCGAAAGUGCCCUAAGAUUUCAUCAUCCGAAAUUCCGGGAGUUCAUUUGUCCGAAAGAGACCGAUUCACCUCGAGGAUGAUGUGUCCCAGUUUCUGCUACUCUUUUCAUCGCAGCAGGUUUCGUAGGAGUUUGGAUCUCUAGGAGGAGGACGUAGAUUCUGAAAUUCACUUGGGACAACCUUCCAAUACAUCUGUGAAGCUUCUAGUAAGCAUUGUUCUCUGCUUUGCUUUUAUCAUGUUGGCUACUUUAACUUCUCUAUAUCUCUGUAGCGUUGUGCACAAACUCUGUUGUUUUAAGUUGGCUGGCUUGAUGGUUGAAAGGAUGGCGGUGGCAGUCAAUAUUAGUUUCACCUUUACAUGAUAAUCAGCACAUUCACAAAAGUGGAGCAAAUUGCAUACGUAAAAGAAAAAUGCAGAGGAUGGGAAAAAAGCUGCAGUGUGAUUAAUAUUGCCUAGUGUUCAUUUGCUGAGAUGGAGCUUGUUUCCAGGAUUACUGUUGCUUCCAAAUAUGGUGGAAGUUUGAGUUAACUCAAUCAGGGCAUACCCUUUUCUUUCCCGCGUAAAACAUUGAUAACGGAAGUUUAGUUACGUAUUUUCAUAUGAAACUACGGGUUUAGAUGCAUA